rnacentral:rRNA from 1 species
GACGAACGCUGGCGGCGUGCCUAAUACAUGCAAGUCGAACGCAGUGGGGACGGGUGAGUAACACGUGGGUAACCUCCCAUCAGAGGGGAUAACACUUGGAAACAGGUGCUAAACCGAUAGUGAUGGAUGGACCCGCGGUGCAUUAGCUAGUUUGUGGGGUAACCGCUAACCAAGGCGACGAUGCAUAGCCGACCUGAGUGGGUGAGCGGCCACACGGAGACUAAGACACGGCCCAGACUCCUACGGGGAGCAGAAGUGGGGAAUAUUGCACAAUGGGCGCAAGCCUGACGCAGCCAUGCCGCGUGUAUGAAGAAGGCCUUCGGGUUGUAAGACUUUCAGCGAGGAGGAACGUUACUCGCAGAAGAAGCACCGGCGAACUCCGUGCCAGCAGCCGCGGUAAUUC